rnacentral:rRNA from 1 species
AUGAACGCUGGCGGCGUGCCUAAUACAUGCAAGUCGAGCGAACAGACGAGGAGCUUGCUCCUUUGACGUUAGCGGCGGACGGGUGAGUAACACGUGGAUAACCUACCUAUAAGACUGGGAUAACUUCGGGAAACCGGAGCUAAUACCGGAUAACAUGUUGAACCGCAUGGUUCAACAGUGAAAGACGGUUUUGCUGUCACUUAUAGAUGGAUCCGCGCCGCAUUAGCUAGUUGGUAAGGUAACGGCUUACCAAGGCAACGAUGCGUAGCCGACCUGAGAGGGUGGUCGGCCACACUGGAACUGAGACACGGUCCAGACUCCUACGGGAGGCAGCAGUAGGGAAUCUUCCGCAAUGGGCGAAAGCCUGACGGAGCAACGCCGCGUGAGUGAAGAAGGUCUUCGGAUCGUAAAACUCUGUUAUUAGGGAAGAACAAAUGUGUAAGUAACUAUGCACGUCUUGACGGUACCUAAUCAGAAAGCCACGGCUAACUACGUG